AUUGAACGCUGGCGGCAUGCCUAACACAUGCAAGUCGAACGAAGCCUUCGGGCUUAGUGGCGCACGGGUGCAUAACGCGUGGGAAUCUGCCCUUGGGUUCGGAAUAACAGUUAGAAAUGACUGCUAAUACCGGAUGAUGUCUUCGGACCAAAGAUUUAUCGCCCAAGGAUGAGCCCGCGUAGGAUUAGGUAGUUGGUGGGGUAAUGGCCCACCAAGCCGACGAUCCUUAGCUGGUCUGAGAGGAUGAUCAGCCACAUUGGGACUGAGACACGGCCCAGACUCCUACGGGAGGCAGCAGUGGGGAAUAUUGGACAAUGGGCGAAAGCCUGAUCCAGCAAUGCCGCGUGAGUGAUGAAGGCCUUAGGGUUGUAAAGCUCUUUUACCAGGGAUGAUAAUGACAGUACCUGGAGAAUAAGCUCCGGCUAACUCCGUGCCAGCCGCCGCUGUAACAC
rnacentral:rRNA from 1 species